AAUUCGAUUGAGUUUGAUCAUGGCUCAGGACGAACGCUGGCGGCGUGCCUAAAACAUGCAAGUCGAACGGGGUCCAUCCUUCGGGAGAAGACCUAGUGGCGAACGGGUGAGUAACACGUGAGAAACCUGCCUCGAAGUCUGGGAUAAGCCAGGGAAACUUGGUCUAAUACCGGAUGCCUUCACAACCUCUUCUGUUGUUGUGAAGAAAGUUUUUCGCUUCGAGAGGGUCUCGCGUCCUAUCAGCUUGUUGGUGGGGUAACGGCCUACCAAGGCUUCGACGGGUAGCUGGUCUGAGAGGAUGGUCAGCCACACUGGGACUGAGACACGGCCCAGACUCCUACGGGAGGCAGCAGUUAGGAAUCUUGCGCAAUGGGCGAAAGCCUGACGCAGCAACGCCGCGUGAGGGAUGAAUGCUUUCGGGUUGUAAACCUCUUUCAGCAGGAACGAAAUUGACGGUACCUGCAGAAGAAGCUCCGGCCAACUACGUGCCAGCAGCCGCGGUAAUACGUAGGGAGCAAGCGUUGUCCGGAUUUAUUGGGCGUAAAGAGCUCGUAGGCGGUUUAGAAAGUCAGGUGUGAAAACUCUGGGCUCAACCCAGAGACGCCACUUGAUACUUCUAUGACUUGAGUUCGGUAGGGGACCAUGGAAUUCCUGGUGUAGCGGUGAAAUGCGCAGAUAUCAGGAGGAACACCGAUGGCGAAGGCAGUGGUCUGGGCCGAUACUGACGCUGAGGAGCGAAAGCGUGGGGAGCAAACAGGAUUAGAUACCCU
rnacentral:rRNA from 1 species